rnacentral:rRNA from 1 species
GAUCGCAGGCUGCAACCCGCCUGCGUGAAGUUGGAAUCGCUAGUAAUCGCGGAUCAGCAUGCCGCGGUGAAUACGUUCCCGGGCCUUGUACACACCGCCCGUCACACCAUGAGAGUCGGGAACACCCGAAGUCCGUAGUCUAACCGCAAGGGGGACGCGGCCGAAGGUGGGUUCGAUAAUUGGGGUGAAGUCGUAACAAGGUAUC